AUUUCAAACAAAAACAUUCACAUGAUCACAUCUGGAUUCUCUGCUCUUUAAAUUACACAAAUUAUUCUAGUGACUAAGGAAAGGAAAUGGAAUUUACAGGAUCAUUUUACAGGAGAGGAAACUGAGACAAACAGGACUAAUUGACUUGCCCAGUGUCACACAGCUGGCAACUCUUUAAGCUUAUAAACUGAAAAGCAAUUGAUGAUCUGCAUUAAAGAAGGGAAUUUCCAUACUUGGAGGGCAAGGAUUUCCUACACCAAUGAAAAGACAAGUCUGGAUGAAAAAUCAUUAUCAAAAAUUUAUUGUUGAUUUAUAUACUUGAGUUCUAGAAGAAACAAUCACUUCGUUGUACCUCUUCAAACCUGAUAUUUUUACUUUGGAAGAGUUCUAAAUAUGGAAU
rnacentral:lncRNA from 1 species